CACAUGCAGGCAUUUAUUUUUGUGUGAGACUGAGUGAAGAAACAUUUACAGCCCGCUCUGUAACCAGUGCGGGAACGGCAGCGGCCAUGCAUAUGCGUGAUUCAUGAGCAGCCUGGACGCGGCGUGUGAGGGUCUAAAUCUCUCAGAUUUAGCGUCAAUUUUACGCAGCCGUGCAGCGACGACUCCGCAGACGUUGAGCUCCAAUCUCAACUUCUGCACCCAGGAAGCAGGGGAGGACAUCCUUUUUCUGUUGGUUUUAUAAAGCUAUAUUUAAAGCUUUAUUUAGGACCAAUAAUAUUACUAAAGCUUCAGAGGAAGCAAAACUUUAAUGCCAGUGGGUACACCCUCUAAAAUGGUUUCAAGGUAUUUCAUGGUUUUACAAGGGACCACAAGGUUUCUCAAGGGGUUUCUGAAAUGUGCUACAGCACAUAACAAACAGUGACCUUUCAACAUGACCUUCAAACAGCACUUAGCUGUGUAGGCUGUGUUGUGCUAUCUGCGCAGUGCAAUGUAUUGUUUUGGACUUGGUGCAAUACAUUGGGUGCAAUGUAUUGUAUUGGGCGCUAGCUUAAGGAAAUGGAUCCAUCACAAUGCAACACGGAAACUUGUGAUCCACAGUCCCCUCCCCCUACGGGUCUGUGCCACCUGAAUGAAAACGGGUGGCAAAUCUCCCCAAACUCACCUGUGGCUAAAGUGACUGAUGCAAUGGAACUGGAUUGGACUAUACUUACCGUAGCAUAUCUCUUUUCUAAAAAGAUCUGUUGUACUUGUGUCUAACUUCUUUCUAUCCUUUCUCUCUUUUCUUUUUUGAUUCAAUGAAG